AGCAGGAUCUGCGGAGCUUAUAUUAACCAACAUCCCUCUGAUUCAUUCAAACUGCUCUUCAGAAUUCCUCCACUCUAUUGCCAUUGACUAAAACAUUAAAAAGAGAGCUACUCUGGUGGACCAAAAAGACAGAAAAAUGAAGCACAGAAGAGGGUGGCCGAGUUCCAGACUCUGGAUCUGUGUUUGUAUGUCUUCACCCUGUUCUUGACUUCAUUCCAUUACUGAGUUGAAGCCAUGGGUGACAACAUAUUUCUUUGCAUGGAAACUGGAAAAGAAGAAUUAUUAUGACAAAGUGGAAGACAGCUCAGUCCAGCAGUGGGAAAACCUUUUACAACCUGGAUAUGCUGGGGUCAGAUGAUUACUGCCACAUGGGCUGUCAUUUCUAGUAUGAAGAAAACCCCAGAAAAUUAACCUUGCUGUGUUCAACUGCCUUAUUGAUUGUCUCUGAAGUCCAUAACCCAUUAAGUAUAUAUUAGCAAGUCUUGUUCUGGACUUAUGGAUUAUCAGUAACUGAAACUGAGCAAGCUCAGCAUAUAUAUGUGUAUGUAUAUAUAUAUAUAUAUUUAUAUUUGUACUUGUUUAUAGCACUUUAUAAAAAGGAGCUAAUCUCACCUGCUUAUCUUACAUGAAGAAGUACUGAAGUACCAGACACACAAAUCUUCAUAACUAGUAUUCGUGUAGCAAAUUUUAAAAGCAGACAUGUAAAAGUGCAAAAUAUAUAAAUCAUCUCUGACAAAUCCAAAGAAAGACUGCUAAAUUUUUUUAAAAAAUACUUUACAAGCUCAAAGGUCAUGCAAAGGUUAUGUUAAGCCAGUUAACAUAAGUGCUCAAGCAUCAUGGGAUCUCGUUCAUAAAUUAAUGUGACCCAGAAAAAGCCUUUGAUCAAAUAAACAUGCUAGGUAAAAGAAAUACAUAGAUGUUGCUGUUUAAUGCAAUACAAAUUGAAGAAGACAUAUUUUAGCUAACUAUAUU